rnacentral:rRNA from 1 species
UACGUAGGGGCCGAGCGUUGUCCGGAGUUAUUGGGCGUAAAGCGCGCGCAGGCGGCUUGGCGCGCCCGACGUGAAAGCCCCCGGCUCAACUGGGGAGGGUCACGCGAUACUGAUCGACUCGGAGGCAGGAGAGGGUAGUGGAAUUCCCGGUGUAGUGGUGAAAUGCGUAGAUAUCGGGAGGAACACCAGUGGCGAAGGCGACUACCUGGCCUGUUCUUGACGCUGAGGCGCGAAAGCUAGGGGAGCAAACGGG